rnacentral:rRNA from 1 species
GACGAACGCUGGCGGCGUGCCUAAUACAUGCAAGUAGAACGCUGAAGGAGGAGCUUGCUUCUCCGGAUGAGUUGCGAACGGGUGAGUAACGCGUAGGUAACCUGCCUGGUAGCGGGGGAUAACUAUUGGAAACGAUAGCUAAUACCGCAUAACAGUAGAUGUUGCAUGACAUUUGCUUAAAAGGUGCAAUUGCAUCACUACCAGAUGGACCUGCGUUGUAUUAGCUAGUUGGUGAGGUAACGGCUCACCAAGGCGACGAUACAUAGCCGACCUGAGAGGGUGAUCGGCCACACUGGGACUGGGACACGGCCCAGACUCCUACGGGAGGCAGCAGUAGGGAAUCUUCGGCAAUGGACGGAAGUCUGACCGAGCAACGCCGCGUGAGGGAAGAAGGUUUUCGGAUCGGAAAGCUCUGUUGUAAGAGAAGAACGAGUGUGAGAGUGGAAAGUUCACACUGUGACGGUAUCUUACCAGAAAGGGACGGCUAACUACGUG